rnacentral:rRNA from 1 species
UACGAAGGGGGCUAGCGUUGCCCGGAAUUAUUGGGCGUAAAGCGCACGUAGGCGGUCUUUUAAGUCGGGGGUGAAAUCCUGGAGCUCAACUCCAGAACUGCCUUCGAUACUGGAAGACUCGAGUCCGGGAGAGGUGAGUGGAACUGCGAGUGUAGAGGUGAAAUUCGUAGAUAUUCGCAAGAACACCAGUGGCGAAGGCGGCUCACUGGCCCGGUACUGACGCUGAGGUGCGAAAGCGUGGGGAGCAAACAGG